rnacentral:rRNA from 1 species
CCUACGGGUGACAGCAGUGAGGAAUAUUGGUCAAUGGACGGAAGUCUGAACCAGCCAUGCCGCGUGCAGGAAGACGGCUCUAUGAGUUGUAAACUGCUUUUGUACAAGGGUAAACCUGCAUACGUGUAUUCAGCUGAAUGUACUGUACGACUAAGGAUCGGCUAACUCCGUGCCAGCAGCCGCGGUAAUACGGAGGAUCCAAGCGUUAUCCGGAUUUAUUGGGUUUAAAGGGUGCGUAGGCGGCUUGAUAAGUUGGAGGUGAAAUGUCCGGGCUUAACUCGGGCACUGCCUCUAAUACUGUUGAGCUAGAGAGUAGGUGCAGUAGGCGGAAUGUAUGGUGUAGCGGUGAAAUGCUUAGAGAUCAUACAGAACACCGAUUGCGAAGGCAGCUUACCAAUCUAUAUCUGACGUUGAGGCACGAAAGCGUGGGGAGCAAACAGGAUUAGAUACCCUGGUAGUC